UGAUAGCGUUAAAAAAGCUGGAGGUCUUUGUAUUGCUGACGAGGUUCAAUCUGGGUUUGGUCGCACUGGUAGCCAUUUCUGGGGAUUUGAAGCCCAUGGUGUUCAACCUGAUAUAGUAACAAUGGCAAAGGUAAUUCAUCUCUCUUUGUCAAAGUAGAAAGAUACAACCUUUACCUAAUUUAGCAAACAGAAAAGCCUAACUGUCUGCGUAACGAAUAAAUAAUAUUUUCGUUGUCUGAUCAUUAGAGUGAUGAGUAGAUUAUAAGCUAUAAUUGAUAUACUUAUAUCCAAGGUUUGAUCAUGAGAGUGAUACUUUUUAUCUUGAAAAAAGUAUGCAACCAUGAUAUGAUCUGCAACAUCAAUGAUAUUGGCAUAUCUGCAAUCACAAUUGUGGCUUUAUUUGACAGUGGUUCUCUAAAAUGUCAAGAAUUGCGAUACGAAUUGUGAUAGAACCUUGCAUAUAUCUAUGUCUACACACACAAUAUGUAUGCUUUGUCAAGUAUCUAUGCUCAUCGCCGUUGGCUUGUUUUCUCGAUUUUUCUUUUGGCAGGGUAUUGGAAAUGGCAUUCCUCUCGGUGCUGUUGUAACUACUCCUGAGAUUGCAAAGGCCUUGACUCACAGAAAUUACUUUAACACCUUUGGUGGAAACCCUGUUUGUACAGCUGCAGGAUUGGCUGUUUUAAAAGUAAUAGAGAAGGAAAAGCUUCAAGACAAUGCAUUUGUAGUGGGAUCCCAUUUGAAAGAGAGGCUUAAUGCCCUCAAGGACAAAUAUGAAAGUAAGGUUUCAUCAUGAAUUCAUUCUAGAGAGUGUUACAUGAUAGUGAAAAAUGACUAUAGCGGAGACAGAUUAUGGCUACACAAGAAUCAAUUUGUUUUCCUUAU
rnacentral:lncRNA from 1 species